UACAGAGGGUGCAAGCGUUGUUCGGAAUUAUUGGGCGUAAAGCGCGUGUAGGCGGCUUUGCAAGUCGGGUGUGAAAGCCCUCAGCUCAACUGAGGAAGUGCGCCCGAAACUGCAGAGCUUGAGUGCCGGAGAGGGUGGCGGAAUUCCCCAAGUAGAGGUGAAAUUCGUAGAUAUCUGGAGGAACACCGGUGGCGAAGGCGGCGUUCUGGACUGCAACUGACACUGAAAAACGAAAGCCAGGGGAGCAAACGGG
rnacentral:rRNA from 1 species